rnacentral:rRNA from 1 species
AACGAACGCUGGCGGCAUGCCUAACACAUGCAAGUCGAACGAAGCCUUCGGGCUUAGUGGCGCACGGGUGCGUAACGCGUGGGAAUCUGCCCUUGGGUUCGGAAUAACAGUUAGAAAUGACUGCUAAUACCGGAUGAUGUCUUCGGACCAAAGAUUUAUCGCCCAAGGAUGAGCCCGCGUCGGAUUAGCUAGUUGGUGAGGUAAAGGCUCACCAAGGCGACGAUCCGUAGCUGGUCUGAGAGGAUGAUCAGCCACACUGGGACUGAGACACGGCCCAGACUCCUACGGGAGGCAGCAGUGGGGAAUAUUGGACAAUGGGCGAAAGGCUGAUCCAGCAAUGACGCGUGAGUGAUGAAGGCCUUAGGGUUGUAAAGCUCUUUUACCCGGGAUGAUAAUGACAGUACCGGGAGAAUAAGCCCCGGCUAACUCCGUG